GACGAACGCUGGCGGCACGCGUAACACAUGCAAGUCGAACGAGGUCCAUCCACUCGCAAGAGUGGUGAAGACCUAGUGGCGAACGGGUGAGUAACACGUGAGAAACCUGCCCCGAAGACCGGGAUAACUCACCGAAAGGUGAGCUAAUACCGGAUGCCUUCACGACGUCUCAUGGCGAUGUGAAGAAAUGGAUUCCGCUUCGGGAGGGUCUCGCGGCCUAUCAGCUUGUUGGUGAGGUAACGGCUCACCAAGGCGACGACGGGUAGCUGUUCUGAGAGGAAGAUCAGCCACACUGGGACUGAGACACGGCCCAGACUCCUACGGGAGGCAGCAGUGGGGAAUCUUGCGCAAUGGGCGAAAGCCUGACGCAGCGAUGCCGCGUGCGGGAAGACGGCCUUCGGGUUGUAAACCGCUUUCAGCAGGGACGAAAUUGACGGUACCUGCAGAAGAAGCUCCGGCCAACUACGUGCCAGCAGCCGCGGUAAGACGUAGGGGGCGAGCGUUGUCCGGAAUUAUUGGGCGUAAAGGGCUCCUAGGCGGUUCAGUAAGUCGACUGUGAAAAUCCAAGGCUCAACCUUGGGACGCCAGUCGAUACUGCUGUGACUCGAGUUCGGUAGAGGAGUGUGGAAUUCCUGGUGUAGCGGUGAAAUGCGCAGAUAUCAGGAGGAACACCAACGGCGAAGGCAGCACUCUGGGCCGAUACUGACGCUGAAGAGCGAAAGCGUGGGGAGCAAACAGG
rnacentral:rRNA from 1 species